rnacentral:rRNA from 1 species
AUUGAACGCUGGCGGCAUGCCUUACACAUGCAAGUCGAACGGCAGCACGGGAGCAAUCCUGGUGGCGAGUGGCGAACGGGUGAGUAAUAUAUCGGAACGUGCCCAGUCGUGGGGAUAACGUAGCGAAAGCUACGCUAAUACCGCAUACGAUCUAUGGAUGAAAGCGGGGGAUCGCAAGACCUCGCGCGAUUGGAGCGGCCGAUAUCAGAUUAGGUAGUUGGUGAGGUAAAGGCUCACCAAGCCGACGAUCUGUAGCUGGUCUGAGAGGACGACCAGCCACACUGGGACUGAGACACGGCCCAGACUCCUACGGGAGGCAGCAGUGGGGAAUUUUUGGGACAAUGGGCGCAAGCCUGAUCCAGCAAUGCCGCGUGCAGGAUGAAGGCCUUCGGGUUGGUUAAACGUC